GACGAACGCUGGCGGCGUGCUUAACACAUGCAAGUCGAACGGAAAGGCCCUGCUUUUGUGGGGUGCUCGGGUGGCGAACGGGUGAGUAACACGUGAGUAACCUGCCCUUGACUUUGGGAUAACUUCAGGAAACUGGGGCUAAUACCGGAUAGGAGCUCCUGCUGCACGGUGGGGGUUGGAAAGUUUCGGCGGUUGGGGAUGGACUCGCGGCUUAUCAGCUUGUUGGUGGGGUAGUGGCUUACCAAGGCUUUGACGGGUAGCCGGCCUGGGAGGGUGACCGGCCACAUUGGGACUGAGAUACGGCCCAGACUCCUACGGGAGGCAGCAGUGGGGAAUAUUGCACGAUGGGCGGAAGCCUGAUGCAGCAACGCCGCGUGCGGGAUGACGGCCUUCGGGUUGUAAACCGCUUUCGCCUGUGACGAAGCGUGAGUGACGGUAAUGGGUAAAGAAGCACCGGCUAACUACGUG
rnacentral:rRNA from 1 species